GGCCGGACAGCUGCUCCCGCCGGCCCUGCAGCCCGCACCUGCCCCGGGAGGUGCGCCCUGGCCUUCCCCGCGGAGCAUCUGGACGGGGAGACUGCUUCCCUGGCGAGAGGACUGGGUCGGGACCAGGCCCGAGGCAAGGUGGAGCCAUGAUCGGAACCCGGCACCGAGGCUGGGCGUGUAGAGCCGGUGGCAGCUUUGGGGACCCGAACGUUCACCUCAGGUUGAAAUGGGCAUUAGUCUUAACUUGGGACCAGUCUCAUUAGGUUGAAUCUACAGCCUAUGUUGGUGUUAAUCCAGGUGUCAUAGAGGCAAGUUAAAUGUCCAUUUUCCUUUUAACACUUUGAAUUGCCUUAACAUUCUUUGAUCAUUGCUGUAAAAGACUGAACCCAAGGUUUUUUCCUCCCCUCCCCUUGACUAGUACUUUAUGCUGAU
rnacentral:lncRNA from 1 species